UCCGGGCCUGCUCUGAGGAAGGAGGUGGUGCGGGGUAAUGAUUAAGAGAAAAGAGAAAGGAUGGAACGGCCCCGAAUGAGGCAGGUGACGACCCAGGACACCUGGCAAAUCAGUGACCAAGCUGAGAGCUCAGGGCACCGGGCUCGCAGGCCCCCGGUUGCGAUUUCAACCUGGUGCGGUUCUCACCAUCGUCAUCACCUCAGCUUGAACCCUGCGGCUUUUUUCUGUGGCUGGAAAAGAUCCUUUUAGUUGGUAUUUGGAGACAUCUAGUGUAAGAGAAUAUGAAAGCAAUGUUCCAGUCUGCUGAGAUGUGAAGUUUGAGGGAUUAUAACGAGCCUGAUUAGAGAUCCCGGCUUGGAUACCUGUACUGUGGAUCUGAGAUUUGUGAAAGGUGGUAUAAAUUGGUCAUGAGAGUUGGGAAAAUAAAUUUUUGUAUUUCUGUUCUAA